ACCUCGGUGGUGCAGUGGUAGAGCUCGAGUACUCGGACACGAUGAAACGCGGGUUCGAAUCCCACCUUAGGCC